AAGCGGUGGAGCAUGUGGUUUAAUUCGAUGCAACGCGAAGAACCUUACCUGGUCUUGACAUCCACAGAACUUAGCAGAGAUGCUUUGGUGCCUUCGGGAACUGUGAGACAGGUGCUGCAUGGCUGUCGUCAGCUCGUGUUGUGAAAUGUUGGGUUAAGUCCCGCAACGAGCGCAACCCUUAUCCUUUGUUGCCAGCGGUUAGGCCGGGAACUCAAAGGAGACUGCCAGUGAUAAACUGGAGGAAGGUGGGGAUGACGUCAAGUCAUCAUGGCCCUUACGACCAGGGCUACACACGUGCUACAAUGGCAUAUACAAAGAGAAGCGACCUCGCGAGAGCAAGCGGACCUCAUAAAGUAUGUCGUAGUCCGGAUUGGAGUCUGCAACUCGACUCCAUGAAGUCGGAAUCGCUAGUAAUCGUAGAUCAGAAUGCUACGGUGAAUACGUUCCCGGGCCUUGUACACACCGCCCGUCACACCAUGGGAGUGGGUUGCAAAAGAAGUAGGUAGCUUAACCUUCGGGAGGGCGCUUACCACUUUGUGAUUCAUGACUGGGGUGAAGUCGUAACAAGGUAACCGUAGGGGAACCUGCGGUUGGAUCACCUCCUUA
rnacentral:rRNA from 1 species